UCCCCAGAAACAAGUUAAAAGUCGCAAUGCAACCCCAUCCACAAUCACAAAUCUGAAGUCGCUGGCCAUCGGCGCGCGUGGUCGCAGUACAGCUCCCACCAAAAAUAUAUUACGCGCGCUUCCAUUACACUCCCCGUUGUACACUGAUCAUGCUUCGAAAUGAAGUGUCGCUGACGACGUACAUGGAGGAGAACGUGUUUAUUUAAAAACCGCAUUAAAUACUCGCGGAAAGAAAACACGUGACUUAGCUUCCACGUAUCCGAUUGUGCGCCACAUUGUGGGAGACCCCACAGUCAAUGCUCGGGCUACAUUCUCCGCUCGCGGAGGUAUAUGCCUGAGUGUCCCCAUUUCGAGAGCAAAGGGGAUUACUCAAACCAAGGUGCUUCUGCAAGCUACAAUUACCAUGACAACGACGACGCACCCGCAGGCCGACGUCAUACGUGACGUAUGCAUGAGAGAGGCGCAGCUUUCGUCGUCUGCUCUUACGGCACGUUUCGACAAAUUCCUCGAAAACGGCUUGGUUAUUCCGAAUGAAACUUUGACGGUUGUAUGUGUACAGUACUCGUGAAACUAGUUUUGGCUAAGUUUCGGAAUCGCCCCGGCUGUAUGAGACCGUCCCUCUAAGAAUCGAACCGCAGGACACCCGUGAAGCACUGUUACGAUACAUCAGUGUACUGGCCCCUUACAAAAUUGUGUGAUGACAAACAACGAUCAACGCUUGGAGCGCAAUAAAUACUCACAAUCUCUGUGGCCUCCCAUUGUUUUCUAUGGGCACACAUAGCGCUAUAGGGCCCACCAACAUGGCGGCCCGAAUGCGUGCGUCUCCCCCACGAGCCCCUCUCCUGUGCACGAUCCAGCCUUUAUACGCUCUGCAAGUAACCGAGCGUUCUGCGCAUAUCUCCUCUCCCGGUUACUCCACUCGGGAAGCCCCACUGGCUACGGCGGCGACCUCCUCUUCCCUCUCACUGCCUCCUCUCAUGCGCAGAGACUCACUUGCACAGCGUAUACGAGGGGUAACCGGGACUUUCUGUCUCCUGAGUGUAUAAAUGGCUCACGUUACUUCUUUUUCGUCAUUUUCACACGCGACAGGCCUCCGCGUUAACCACGUGGUGGUCCAAAGUUUGUGCAAAACAGAAGACACGCGCUGGACAAGAUGGCCGACAACGAGGUGAGCGUGCACAUCGAACAGCGAAUUGUCAUGAAGAUUCUUGUGAAUGAAGGCGUAAAGUCAUCUGAAAUUCACAGAAGACUUCAGGCUCAGUAUGGCCACGAUACACUUAGCCGCAGCAAAGCGUUUGAGUAGUGUAAACGGUUCCGAGACGGCCGUACAUCAGUGCAGGGCGAUCCCGUCCGGGGCGGCUCAGAGCCCAGUGUCAGAGUUCCUGAGAACAUCUAACCUGUGGAGCGCCUGAUCCUCAAGGACCGACGGAUAACAUGUCUCGAACUGGUUCGAAAGACGGACCUUCUGUGGGAACGUUGAACACUAUCAUUCAUGAACAUCUCCAGCUUCGGAAAGCCGGGCCUCAUCACCAAAGGAGUCCUCCUCCUACAGGACAAUGCACGACACGCACCUUACAAGAACUUGGCUGGGAGUUGCUGCCACAUCCCCCUUACAGUCUAGACCUAGCCCCAAGUCAUUUCCAUCUCUUCGGUCCACUGAAGGCUUUCCUUGGGGGCCGCCACUUCAGCUGCGACGACGAGGUCAAGAAUGCGGUCCGAUCAUGGCUGCUACGCGCCGGGCACACUGUCGCAUUGCAAUGGAUCCCGGGACAUGUCGGCAUCACCGGCAAUGAAGAAGCAGACAGAGCCGCCUUGAGCACCUAUCAGCACCCAACUUUUCCCCCGAUAAUGAUGUCUUCGGGCAACCGAAGACACCUCCUUUCGUCACUCACUGGCCCCAAGAUGGCAACACGGCUGAGUGGCAACACGACAUGGCAUACUCCCUUCUCUCGGAUGUAGACCCCACGCUUUCCCCUCUUCCUUCGUUUCUUUUUUGCAAUAAACCUAUAUCCCCCCCCCCCCCG